ensembl:lncRNA
UUGGCGGUAGCUUUUCCUGCUUUUAUUCUCCAUGGUGACAUCUCAAAAACAACAACUUUGAAACUGCAAGCAUGGCAAAUGUAUAAUGCUUGGUAAUUGGGUUUGAGGAUGUGUCCCAGAAAGGUAUAAAAGUGUUGGAUUUUCAUUAUACAGGGUAUUGUUAUGUCCUCCCCCCUCCCCUUGAAAAUAAUUCAUUACAGGAGAGAAGGACAAUCUAAGCAAAAUAACAACAGCCAAGUACAGAAAAAGAAAACCACUCACUCACUGCAUAAUGGGUGGGAAACGGCUGUUGCAGGCAAGCAACAGCAGCAGGAAAAAGAACCCCAGAGCUCAUUGAUGAACAGCAAGAGGACUGUACCCUGGGCCAGGGCUUUCAAACAGGGUCUGUGAAAAGGCAGCAGCAGUGGGCACCAAGCUCCCAGCUCGAGUCUCCGGGCUGCGUGGCUUGUACAAACAGAACUAAAGGUGACCCUGUUGGGAUGCACCAUCAGGACAGCAUUGGUGCUCUGCAGACAGCCUGGGACAGGGGUGCAUGAUAGGCUCCUUUCGCCUCCAAGUUCAUUUUGGUGUUGUUCUCAAAAGCAGUAGAGGCUUUGCAGAAAACAAGAUGUAUUUUUCUACGUGAGGUGAGCAGGUGUGGUAGAGAGUCACCACCAGGCAUUAGAGAUUAAAACCUUGCCGUUUCAUUGAACUGAACGUUGCUUCUCAAAUGAGCUCAUCAACUUUUGGUUCCUACUUUCAAACUCAAAUGUAACUAAGCAUCCUGGCAUUCCAUGUGCUUUCUAUGACUCAUGAAAUGCUGCUUCUCUCUGCUGCUGCUCUCACCAAGGACAAUGAAAACUGAAUGCCUUUGCUCCUGUUGUUUGCACUUCAGAGCUAUGACUGCAGCUGCCCUGGGCUCGAAAACAAUACUUAAUCAUUUUGAAAUUAUGUUCAGCUUUAAUUUUGAAAACAUUUCCAGUAACACCCCUGUUGGGCUUCAGAGAAUAUCCGGAGGGCCCUCAGGGUUGUUUUGUGUAUUCUCUAAUUUCUGCUUUUAUAGGGGGUAAAAAUGUCUUUUUACAAACCACCACUCACUCCACAUCUGAAUUGCCCAGAACCCCUGGGUGCAGCGCUGAAGGUUAACUGGCAACAGCCAAGGAGAGCAGGGGGAUGGAGAGGGAUUACAAGCAUGACAAAAAAUGACAGGCAGAAAGGGAGGAGAAAGUCUUUCCUGGCAAAGGCCCCUACGCAGGCAGGGGUGGAUGUCAAAAAGCAACUACAAAGGUCACAAGAGAAUUCACAUGGGAAUCAUGGCAGAUGCAUUCUUUUAGUAUUAGCUAACUUUAUUCUUAAGAUUUUUAUGUUUCUAAUGCUGGUAAUCCGGCUGGCACUUUUAAGAUCAUAUCAAAAUGAUAGCUUUGUCACAUUAUGUAAUGGAUCUCUCUUCUGCAGGCAAUGGGAAAGGGACUUUAGGAGCCCCAAGUGACGAUGAAGGUGGUUUCAACGUCACAGCUGCUGUAGAAAGCAGGUAUGGCCAGUACAGCGCAAUGGAGAUGCUGUAUUACAGAGCUUUCCCGAGUGUCACGGGGUCACAUCUGCAGCACCCAGCUUAUGCCAAAGGUCCCUCUGCUCCUGGACCCAUUCAAGAAGUGAGCUAAAGCGCCUUUAGCUUCUCCAUGUGUCCCAAACCCUGUACCUAGCGACACAGAACAAAUCCUCACCCACAUCUUUGUGUGAAAGCUCCCUGAAGAAAAAGGAACAUAGCACCAAGCGGUUUCUCAGCAAAACAAUCUCCAUGACAUUAAAGCUAUUUUCAGAAUAGCCCGAGCAUAAUAAACGCUGUGGUGUUGUGUUUAUCUACCUGUAACAGUCUGUGACAAGGUUUGGCUUCCAAAGUGUUAUUUGAUGGCUCCAUCUCAGGGAUCUGUAUU